CGGACGCGUUGAGGGCUGCGUUAGCCGAGUUCAUCUCGACGCUCAUCUUCGUUUUCGCCGGCGAGGGCUCCGGAAUGGCAUUCGCCAAGCUAACCGAUGACGCCGCAACUACUCCCUCAGGCCUCGUCGCCGCCGCGCUCGCCCACGCCUUCGGCCUUUUCGUCGCCGUCACCAUCAGCGCCAACAUCUCCGGCGGACACGUCAACCCCGCCGUCACCUUCGGCGCCUUCAUCGGCGGCAAUAUCUCUCUCCUCCGCGGCCUCCUCUACUGGAUCGCCCAGCUCCUCGGGGCCACCGUCGCCUGCGGCCUCCUCAAGUUGGUCACCAACGGCCAGGUAACUUUCUCAUCUCCCACUUCCCACUCCACGUUCCGUUAAUACCGUUUUUUUAGGUAAAUAAAAAAGUGACUUAAGCUACGGGUUUUGAUACGGUGCUUCGCAGACUACCGCUGCUUUCUCCCUGUCCCCGGGAGUGGGAGUGUGGAACGCGUUCGUUUUCGAGAUCGUGAUGACGUUCGGACUGGUCUACACGGUCUACGCGACCGCGAUUGACCCGAAGAAAGGGAGCGUGGGGACAAUCGCGCCCAUCGCGAUUGGUUUCAUCGUUGGCGCCAACAUUUUGGCGGGUGGGGCUUUUGACGGGGCGUCCAUGAACCCGGCCGUUUCUUUCGGGCCGGCGUUGGUGAGCUGGAGCUGGGAGAACCACUGGGUCUACUGGGCCGGGCCUUUGAUCGGCGCCGGGAUCGCCGGGGUCAUCUACGAGUUCGUGUUCAUCGGCAACAGCGGCCACGAGCAACUGCCCUCCACUGACUACUAAUUGAUUAAGCCUUA
rnacentral:lncRNA from 1 species